rnacentral:tRNA from 1 species
UGGCUGAGUGGUAAAGCGCUUGGCUUGCAACCCGAGGGAUCCCAGGUUUGAAUCUUGG